rnacentral:lncRNA from 1 species
GAAAGAUUGUUAAGGAUAAUGGGGAGGUGUUGGGUAUUUUUGGAAUAAAAGAAAAUAGUGGGGAGGUGUAAAAUAUUUUUGAAAUAAAUUAAAGGCUUAAUUCUCCUAAUGGUCCCUAUUUUCCUCAAGUGCGUUCACUUUGGUCCCCAUAUUUUUUUCUGUUCAAUGUUAUCCUAAAGAGUGUAAAUUUUGUUCAAUUUGGUCCUUUUUGCUAACGCCGUUUAAAUCGUUAACGGCCAGAUCUCCACAUGUGCAAUUAGAGAGUGAACUGUCAUUUAUGUUCUGACGUGGACUAGAUCAGUCAUCAUCAUAGGGACCACAUUCGGAAAUAAUUAACAGAAAUGAGGACUAGAUUGAACAACCUUCAUUCAUUACAAAACAUAGAGCCACAUCACCAUCUUCUUCAACCUUCAGCCCAACCAAAAAUAGAAACCCUACUUUCUUUCUAAAAAUCUAACCCUAGUGCCGCCACACCUAAACCCUCAGGCCACUACCGCAAUCACCACAUACCUGCAAACAAAACCCAAAAGACCAUUACCAUGACGCCGCUACGACCACCUCCACUCGCCACCAUCUUCAUCGCGCGCCUUCACCAUCAUUUUCUUCCCAGUUCGCACUGCCACCAUAGCGAUUGAGGGUUUCGAUUUGGGGGUUUUUGUUGUGUUAUCUAGUUUUUGUAAAUUGGAAUGUAUGAUUUUCGUUUCAAAAUUGAUUUGGGGAAUUCUUGGUUCUUCUUUGUUUUGCGAGUGGUUAGGGAUUUUGUUAUUCCCUGUAGGUAUGGGUUUUGCGAAGUGGGGGAUGAGGGUUCAAAUUGGGAAUGUUAGGGUUUCUGAACUUGGGGUUUUUCGUUUUGGGUUCAUUUGAUUCGCGAUAAUAAGUUUCGUGGUGGUUGUUGUUGGAUGCACGGGUGGCGCCAAUGAAGGUGCUGGUAGGUGGCCAUGGGUGGUGUUUUUGGGUGUUUGUUGGACAGAGAAGAUGAUGGAGGUGAGAAGAUGGUGGCUGGUCGUGACCACUGCGGCGAUGGUUAGGGUUAGGUGGUGACUAGGGUUUUUGUGUAAGGGGAAAUUAGGGUUUCUAGAGGUAGGAGAUGAUGAUGACAUGUCAAUGGUGAUGUGUCAUUGAUUGUACAACUGGACAGUUGGCCGUUAACGAUUUAAACGGCGUUAGCAAAAAAGACACAUCCAUUUAAUGUGAAAUAAUUAUUAUUAAUUU